GUGCCAGUAGUGCAGUGGAUUGCUUCUGUGUGUUAACCCAGCAGGUCAUGGGUUCGAAACCCCUCUGGCCA
rnacentral:tRNA from 1 species